rnacentral:rRNA from 1 species
UACAGAGGGUGCGAGCGUUAAUCGGAAUUACUGGGCGUAAAGCGUGCGUAGACGGUUAUUUAAGUCGGGUGUGAAAGCCCCGGGCUCAACCUGGGAAUUGCAUUCGAGACUGAAUAGCUAGGGUACGGUAGAGGGAAGUGGAAUUUCCGGUGUAGCGGUGAAAUGCGUAGAUAUCGGAAGGAACAUCAGUGGCGAAGGCAGAUCUCUGGGCCGUAACUGACGCUGAGGAGCGAAAGCAUGGGGAGCGAACAGG